UACGGAGGGUGCAAGCGUUAUCCGGAUUCACUGGGUUUAAAGGGUGUGUAGGCGGACUUUUAAGUCAGCGGUGAAAUCUCCGGGCUCAACCCGGAAACUGCCAUUGAUACUAUUGGUCUUGAAUGUUGUUGAGGUGGGCGGAACGGGUCAUGUAGCGGUGAAAUGCAUAGAUAUGACCCGGAACACCGAUUGCGAAGGCAGCCCACUAAGCAACGAUUGACGCUGAGGCACGAAAGCGUGGGGAUCAAACAGG
rnacentral:rRNA from 1 species